AAGGCUUCAGUACGACCCAGUCAGAACCAUAAGUCUCAAAGCCCCGACGAGUAGGGUGGCGUGCCGGUGCGCGUUGAAGGCCAAGACGUGAGUCAGGCUGGAGCCGCCGGUAGUGCAGAUCUUGGUGGUAGUAGCAAGUACUCUGGUGAACCAACCUGGAGCUGUGAGGUCUGGAUUAGGGUUCCAUGUCAACAGUGAUUGAACAUGGGUGAGUCGAACCUAAGCCAACUGUGAAAGCAGUGACAUACCGACAAAGGGGCAUUACAUGUCCGGCAUCUUACACCCCCGAAACUCUCUAUCUCUAAAAGGUGUCUGGGACGUAAAUGCGCGCGGACACACAUGAUGAUCACCAAGAGUGGGAGUGUGUGGCUGCACGAGCGCUUGUCAGGUUACGCUCAAAAGCGUUGUUGUUGUUGGGAGAUAAAAGAGAGUGGGUGAGCGUGAGGCCACUGCAUGAGCCCCCUGCGUCUGGUUCCAUGUCUGGCGAAAGGGAAUGGGGACUUUGUUCCUUGACCGGUCCCGGCACCCUCGAUUGGCUCUGCCAAUUAAUGGUCCAUGCAAAUGGAACCAGGCCACAGCCGCCGGCAGUCGCCCGAGGAAGAGUUUUCUUUUCUGCUUAACGCACGAGGUCAUCCCUGGAAACAGUUCGGCUGGCGAAAGGGUGCCCCGUUGCGGCAGAGCGCCACGACUGUCGUGCGCGUCUCGGUGUUCCUGCCGGUCCGUGAAGACGUGGUCGAGGGGAAUGCUAUAUGGAAUAAACGUAACGACUGACAAGUUCGGGACGGACCGUACCCUAUAUCCGCAUCUGGUCUCCAAGGUUCGUAGCCUCUGCAGAGUCAGACACAUGUAGGUAAGGGAAGUCGGCAAACUCGAUCCGUAACUUCGGGAAAAGGAUUGGCUCUGAGGGCCGAGCUGGGCCGGGCCUUGCCUGCAAAGCAGUACCUAUAGUGACCGGAGUUUCAGGAGUGCGAGGGGCUCUAGUAGCUGCUCGUGCGUGUGUGCGUUCGCGCGUGCGCGCGUGUGGGCACGAACGAGUCCACCGCUCCGCUCCAACCACGAACGGCUGUGACGGCAAGGGCUCUGGGCGGGAGCGAUCAACCCGUUUGCCUCCAGCUCGUCUGGGUGGCGGCGGUGCUCCGUCUGACCCAUACGGCUCCAGCGGCUAGCGGCUAACUCAGAACUGUCAUGGACCAAGGGAAUCCGACUGUCUAAUUAAAACAAAGCGUCGUGACGGCCCC
rnacentral:rRNA from 1 species